rnacentral:rRNA from 1 species
AGCCUGAACGCUGGCGGCGUGGCUAAGACAUGCAAGUCGAACGGGAUCGUAGCAAUACGGUCCAGUGGCGGACGGGUGAGUAAUGAAUCGCUAACGUACCCUCCCGUCUGGGAUAGCCGAGGGAAACUUCGGGUAAUACCAGAUGAGACCCCCUUGUCGCAUGGCGAGGGGCUCAAAGGAGCAAUCCGCGGGUGGCGCGGGCGAUUUCGUAUCAGCUAGUUGGUGGGGUAACGGCCCACCAAGGCGACGACGCGUAGCCGGACUGAGAGGUUGGCCGGCCACAUUGGGACUGAGACACUGCCCAGACUCCUACGGGGGCUGCAGUAACGAAUCUUCCGCAAUGCACGCAAGUGUGACGGAGCGACGCCGCGUGUGGGACGAAGUCCUUCGGGAUGUAAACCACUGUCAGGGGUUACCAAGUUCUGAGGAGCCCCAGAGGAAGGCACGGCUAACUCUGUCGCCAGCAGCCGC